AGGAUCAGAAUCCGCUGACAUAGUGAGGAAACGUCUGGGCAUCAAGUUCUGCAGAGAGAACAUUUAGCUGGAACAAGUCCGGUGGCUCCUCUUCCUGCGCACAAUUCAGCGAGACAGUGUCUGCUCAGAUCCAAGUCUGCACAGUCAUGCAGCAUACAAACUACAUAAGCCAUCACAAACCACCCAGAAACACCAGCUUUACAUUUUCAUGUUAAACUGCAGUUAUUUCACUUAAAUUUACAUACCUAUGUCAUGCUUGUCUGCUAACAAAUAUAUUCAGCAAAAAGCAUUACUUACUAAACAUAAGUCUGACCAGGGAAUCCAUUCUGAAUGUGUUUAAGUGCAAAUUUAGGGUGAUUCCACAAGCAUCAGAAUUGUUAUUUUUUUUAGCUUUGUCACAAAUAUCCAGCAAAAUCUGCAGGCACUGAGUGUGAAUCUUAUUCCUUAUACACAGAACAUGAUGAAAACAAUCAUGUGGCUGCAAAUCUGCAGUUGGUCCCUGGAUGAAGAGCAGGACACAGUUCAAAGAAAUCUUGUGAGAAAUGCCGACGACAUAGGAAAGCUGCUUUACCAACCCUCAUUGGCUGUGGAUAGAAUGGUUGUGUCACAACUACGAUUGUUGCUAUGGAAAGUAAGGACGAUGGGGUCUCCAGCGCAUGUCCUUGGAAUGCAGAACUAGCUGUGAGGAAGCUUAACUUGGAUGCCAUAAAUAAGCCAAUGUUUGACACAAAAGAACAGCUUAAUGAAUUGUCUUCCGGAUCAUCUGUCAUUAUAUAUAAAAAUAUUGAGCUUGCAUGUAAUUGAACGUACUUGCAACACAUCACAAUGUAAUAAUCCAUACGGCAAAAUAUGUAUGGCUAGGUUUACUUACUUUCUUAAAGCCUUGGUUUUCACUUCUCUUAAAGAUGGCUGACCAAUCCUAACAUGUAUUCAUGCAUUUAAUGCAUAUUAUGGUUAUGAUUUGCAUGGAAUAAAAAAAAUUGUGAUCAAAAAGUCAGACUAAUGACAAAAUGGUACUGAUAAAACUACAGAUUAUAGCACAAAAAAUUAUCCCUCCAAAUCCUUUCUAAGGGUGGGUUUGCACCACAGGUUUGUCCUCACGUUUUUUUUAUUGGCUUUUUUUAGUCAAAGCCGGACCAAACUGUAUGCAACCAUGUGCUUAAAAAAGAACUAACAUACAAUUUUCAAACCGUAUAUGGUUAAAAAACGUGUGCCCGUUUGCAUGCGGUUUCAUACUGUUUUUAACAACUGCAUUAAAUCCGGUUUUAAGAUUUUUGUUAUUUUUUAAAUAAAGUUUCAAUUGUUCUUUUUAGAAUACUUUAGAAUCAAAUUUAUCAUGUGCAAAGUUAAAAACCGUAUAGGAAAAACCGGAUUGAACCAUAGACCCAUACGAUUCACUACAGGGGGCGUGAUAUGGUCUGUGGCCAGCGUCUGAGGCUCCUCUCGUUACACCUGCUGCCUCCCUGCUAUGGAAAUCCGGGACCGAUGAUCAACUUCAGCCGCCAGCCUCCGUACAAGUGUCAGAGUGUGAGUACUCCGUAUUUUUUCGUUUCUUCUAUGAUUGCUAUAUCUAUCUACAGUGCUUGGACAUACGUAGAGCACCUCCAGACAUC